UACGUAGGGCGCGAGCGUUGUCUGGAAUUAUUGGGCGUAAAGAGCUCGUAGGCGGCCUGUUGCGUCCGCUGUGAAAUCCCAGGGCUUAACCCUGGGCGUGCAGUGGAUACGGGCAGGCUGGAGGCAGGCAGGGGAGAACGGAAUUCCCGGUGUAGCGGUGAAAUGCGCAGAUAUCGGGAGGAACACCGGUGGCGAAGGCGGUUCUCUGGGCCUGUGCUGACGCUGAGGAGCGAAAGCGUGGGGAGCGAACAGG
rnacentral:rRNA from 1 species